UGGGGAAUAUUGCACAAUGGGCGCAAGCCUGAUGCAGCUAUGCCGCGUGUGUGAAGAAGGCCUUCGGGUUGUAAAGCACUUUCAGCGGGGAGGAAGGCGGUGAGGUUAAUAACCUCAUCGAUUGACGUUACCCGCAGAAGAAGCACCGGCUAACUCCGUGCCAGCAGCCGCGGUAAUACGGAGGGUGCAAGCGUUAAUCGGAAUUACUGGGCGUAAAGCGCACGCAGGCGGUCUGUCAAGUCGGAUGUGAAAUCCCCGGGCUCAACCUGGGAACUGCAUUCGAAACUGGCAGGCUAGAGUCUUGUAGAGGGGGGUAGAAUUCCAGGUGUAGCGGUGAAAUGCGUAGAGAUCUGGAGGAAUACCGGUGGCGAAGGCGGCCCCCUGGACAAAGACUGACGCUCAGGUGCGAAAGCGUGGGGAGCAAACAGG
rnacentral:rRNA from 1 species